rnacentral:lncRNA from 1 species
AUGUUAUUUUUUGUAAAUGUCAUAAACAACUUUGUUCGUAUACUUAUACCUCAAGUGCUUUUUAACGAAAAACUGAAACAUGACUAUUUAACUUGCAACGAAAUGGAAAAUACAAAAAAAAUAAAAAAUAAGUACGAGGAAAUAUCUUUUGAAGAUAAAAUUGUCCUAAACACAUGUAAUCCCAUAUUUUCGUUUAUAGAAAUAUUAAUUAUCAACAACCAUGAAAGAUACGAAAAGGCUUUUUAUGUCGACUUAAUAAAAACAUUGAUCAACGAAUGUAGAAAAAUAGAAAGACAGUACAAUAUUAUGAAAAUAAUACAUGAUGAAUAUAUAUUAUUUAUUAAAGGAGAUGAUUAUAAAAAAAAACAAAACUUAUAUAUUGAUAGAAAUUAUUUGAAAAUAAAAAAAUUGAGUAAACAAAGAUUGGAAUCAACGGCAUCAUUUCAUGUGUCAGAUGAGUAUAGUUCUUCUGCUUAUUCAGAGACUGAAGAAGAGGAAGAGGAAGAGGAAGAGGAAGAGGAAGAGGAAGAGGAAGAGGAAGAGAAAGAGGAAGAGGAAGAGAAAGAGGAAGAGAAAGAAGAAGAAGCAAAAGAGGAGGAGAAGGAGGAGGAAAAGGAAAGGGGAAAAGAGACAAAAGAUGCAAAAGAUGCAAAAGAUAGAAAAGAAAAAAAUGAAAAGGGAGAAGAGACAAAAGAUGCAAAAGAUAGAAAAGAAAAAAAUGAAAAGGGAGAAGAGACAAAAGAUGCAGGUGAAGGUAAAGAUGGUCAUAAAAACAACGACAGCGCUAAGGCAAAUAAUGAAGAAACGAAUAAUGAGCAGUCUAGUGGCACCGCUCCAAACAUACAGGAGGAUGAUAUAGAUGGAUCUAAAAAAAAAGAAAAGAAAAACAAACUUAUAACUAAUAUAGACCAAAUAAGAAAUAAAAGAAGAUCAAUAUUAUUAGUCGAUCAUAAAAAAUAUUCUCUUAUUUACCAAUCUGUUAUAGUUAGAUAUUUAAAUUUUUUAUUGAAAUAUAUAAAUUGUGAAAAAUAUCAAAUUCGUAUAAUGAUAUUGGAUUUAUUUUUAGAAUUAAUAAAAAAAAAAAAAAACAAAUAAAAAUGAAUUUCUUUUUCAAAAUUUAUUUAAAUUAUUUUUAGAACGAUUAGAGGAUCCUAAUAUGAUUGUUAAAGCAAAAGCUUUAUCUAUUUUGGUUACAUUAACAAAUCGUAAAUACCUUGAUAAUAAUCUUAUAUAUAAUUUUAUAUUUAACAAAACCAUACAAAAAAUAAAUAUGUAUAAAAUAAUAGUAACA